rnacentral:rRNA from 1 species
UACGUAGGUGGCAAGCGUUAUCCGGAUUUACUGGGCUUAAAGGGUGCGUAGGUGGGCAGGUAAGUCAGUGGUGAAAUCUUCAAGCUUAACUUGGAAACUGCCAUUGAUACUAUUUGUCUUGAAUAUCCUGGAGGUAAGCGGAAUAUGUCAUGUAGCGGUGAAAUGCUUAGAUAUGACAUAGAACACCCAUUGCGAAGGCAGCUUACUACGGGAUUAUUGACACUGAGGCACGAAAGCGUGGGGAUCAAACAGG